GGCAUGCGAGUGCCAGGGGGGGAACCCGGGGAACUGAAACAUCUCAGUACCCGGAGGAAGAGAAAGCAAUAGCGAAUCCCUAAGUAGCGGCGAGCGAACGGGGACGAGCCCAAACCGCGCGGGUGCCAAGACGGCAGUCGUUGCCCGAGCGGGGUUGUGGGACAUGCGACGGAGGCCUGCCGACCUCUACCUUGCACGAUUAAGCCGAGCCGAGGGGUGCUGGAAUGCACCACCACAGAGGGUAAGAGUCCCGUAGGCGAAAGGCGAGAGAGGCAAGAAGCACGAUCCCGAGUACUGCGGGGGCACCGAGGAGCCCCGCAGGAAGCAGGGGGGACCACCCUCCAAGGCUAAACACUACUCAGCGACCGAUAGCGAAUAGUACCGUGAGGGAACGGUGAAAAGCACCCGGGAGGGAGUGAAAUAGAACCUGAAACCGUGCGCCCCAAGC
rnacentral:rRNA from 1 species